rnacentral:rRNA from 1 species
CCCGCCGGCGACCGGCGCACGGGUGAGUAACACGUAUGCAACCUGGCCGCCACAGGGGGAUAACCCGCGGAAACGCGGCCUAAUACCCCGUGACGCCACCGGAGGGCAUCCUCCGGUGGCCAAAGGAGCGAUCCGGUGGCGGAUGGGCAUGCGGCGCAUUAGCUAGACGGCGGGGUGACGGCCCACCGUGGCGACGAUGCGUAGGGGUUCUGAGAGGAAGGCCCCCCACACUGGGACUGAGGCACGGCCCAGACUCCUACGGGAGGCAGCAG